CCCAGGCUGGAGUGCAAUGGCAUGAUCUCGGCUCACUGCGACCUCUGCCUCUUGGGUUCAAGCGAUUUUCUUGCCUCAGCCUUCCCAGUAGCUGGGAUUACAGGCAUAACUGAAGGUGAAAGGACAGAAUCACCAUGUGUUACUGGCACAGAUGCAUCGGCUAGUGAAGAAAGAAGACAUUCAAACUAGUCCCGCUCUGUCGCCCAGUCUGGAGUGCAGCAGCGCCAUCAUAGCUCACUGCCACCUAGAAGCCGGGGUGAAGCAAUCCUCCUCCAUCAGCCUUCAGAGUAGCUGGGACUACCUGCGCGGCCCACCACACCCGGCUAAUCUUUGUGGUUUUUGUUUUGUUUUCCGUUCUGGGUUUCCGUCGGGCGCAGUGGCUCAGGCCUGCAAUCCCAGCACUUUGGAAGGCAGAGGUGGGCGGAUCACCCGAGGUCGGAGACCAGCCUGACCAACAUGAAGAAAUCCCGUCUCUACUAAAAAAAAGAAAAAAACUACAAAAUUAGCCGGAUAUGGUGGCUCAUGCCUGUAAUCCCAGCUACUAGGGAGGCCCAGGCAGGAGAAUCACCUAAAUCCGGGAGGCCGAGGUUGCGGUGGGCAAAGAUCACACCAUUGCACUCCAGCCUGGACAACAAGGGUGAAACUCCAUCUCAAAACAGAGACCGGGUUUCACCAUGUUGCCCAGGCGGUCUGGAACUCCUAGGCUCAAGCGAUCUGCCACACUCGGCCUUCCAAAGUCCUGGGAUCACAAGGGGGAGGCACCACGCCAGGCCGAUCUAUUCCUUUCUGGUUACUAAAUUGGACCGGGGGCGCGGUGGCUCACGCCUGCAAUCCCAGCACCCAGGGAGGCGGAGGCGGGCGUAUCACUUGAGGUCAGGAGCUCGAGAUCAGCCCGACCAACACGGAGAAACCCCGUCUGUACCAAAAAAAUAAAACCAAAAUUAGCUGGCAUGGUGGCUCAUGCCUGCAAUCCCAGACACUCAGGAGGCUGAGGCAGGAGAACCACCUAAACCCGGGAGGUGGAGGCCGCGGUGAGUCGAGACCACGCCACUGCACUCCAGCCUGCAAAACGAGCGAAACUCCACUCAAAAAAAAAAAAAAAAGACAACCGUGUUUCACCAUGUCGUCCAGGCUGGUCUGGAACUCCUAGAACCUGUAGAUGUUACCUCAUUUGGAAAAAGCAUAUUUUCAGGUAUGAUUAAGUUAAGGAUCUUGAGGAGAGAUUAUCCUGGAUUGUCUCCGUGGGCAUUAAAUCCUGGCACAUAUAUCCUUAUAAGAGGGAGAUAAAGGAGAUUUAACUUCAGACAGAAGAGAAGGAGGCCCUGUGACCAAGAAGGCAGAGCCUGGAGUGGUGGAGCUGCAAGUCAAUGAAUGCCAGCAGCCAUCAGAAGCUGCGCAAGUCAAAGGAUGGAUUUUCCCCUCAGCCUCUGAGAGCACUGGCUCUGCUGAGACCUAGAUUUCAGCCCAGUGAUACUGAUUUUGGACUUCUGAUAUCCAAAACUGUGAGAAAAUAAAUUUCUGUUGUUUUAAGUCACCACAUUUUUGGUAAUUUGCUCUAACAGCCACAGGAAAGUAACAUACAUGCCUACCUGGGUCCAGUUGUGUCCUGUGACUCCUGCUUUCCUGGGACAGGCAGGCUGCUCCGUGCCUCCUGGCCAUCCUACUGGGUGCUGGACGCUGUAGGCUGCUCCAUGCCUGUUGGCCAUUCCCUUUGGUGCUGGACAGCACUCACAUUGUGAAAUCCACUGGCCCUGUGAAAAACACCUGGAAAUGUUACCAGGAGAGGGGUUAGUUCUCUUUUUGGCAACCCAUGUUAUUGCUUAUGGCUUAAUAUCUGUGCCUCCAAGAUCCCUUCUCUCUGCCUUCAUCGAUGCCAGGAAAGCAGUCACCUUUUGCCUUUCUUUGCUUCUCAGCAAGUGGCAUGUCUCCAUGUCACUUUAAGCAUCAAGCACACGGAGCCCAAUAAGAUGCUGAAAAGUGUCUGCCUACAAGGUUACAAGGUGGUGGAGACAUUCUGAGCCGGUAACUGCAGGGCUCAGUAAAACCGCUACAGGAAAUCUCAAGUUCAAAAUGCUGAAGUGAAAAAUGGGUGAUCACAACGAAGGGAAACACAAACCCCUUCUUUUAAAAACAUUAUGGUGAUAAGGCACAACAUAAAAUUUACCAUAUUAGCCACUUACUUUUUAACACUGAUCUGCUGCUGUUGAGGCAUAUGCCGUUUUGUUAGGCCUCCUCAAGUGGGAGUCAGGAAUGCUGCUGUGUUCCAGAGAGGUUUUGUUCUUCCUGUAGGGCUGAAGCAGUGCCUACUCAAUAAAACCAGUCAUCGUGCAAAGAAAUGCCACCUGACUCAAAGGCAAAGCCAGAGUGCAGCUUGGAGCAAAGAAGUUUGUGUUGAAGGAGAAACUAACAACGAAAAUGGACUUGUUGACGGAAGAAAAGUAGGAAUGCAGCCUCUGGUGCUGUUUGAGUGAUCCCUCUGCCCCAGGCCUGGCUGCGCGCUGCUGUGUUCUGGAAAGGCGCAUUGUGCCCUCGCUGUGGCAGGUAAGAGUCCUGUACAGGUGCUCUGCCCACUUUACCUUUCAGGCUUCUGUAUCAGCUGUUUUUCCCUUGUAGAAUGUGCCCCUGACCUGUGCCCCUGACUUCCACCCCUUAACCCUGCCCAAUACAUCUUUACAUGUCUGACCAUCAAGACUCUUCUGGGUCAUAUUCAGUUCAUGCUGAUAUUUUCCCUUCCUCCCCUCUUUAGUCCUUACUAUUUUUGCUUUGGUCAUGUUAUGCUAUAUUCUGUAAGCCUUUAAAAAUUUUGUUGUAUCAUGGCAGGGGAGAAUAUUUUAUAAUUAUGCUUUGUGCGUUUUAUCUUCCACUCAAUGAAUGCUUG
rnacentral:lncRNA from 1 species